rnacentral:rRNA from 1 species
UACGGAGGGCGCAAGCGUUGUUCGGAAUCACUGGGCGUAAAGCGCGUGUAGGCGGCUUGGCAAGUCGGGUGUGAAAUACCGAGGCUCAACCUCGGAACUGCACUCGAAACUGCUUGGCUCGAGUCCCGGAGAGGGUGGCGUAAUUCCCGGUGUAGGGGUGAAAUCCGUAGAGAUCGGGAGGAACUCCAGUGGCGAAGGCGGCCUCCUGGCCGGUGACUGACGAUGAGACGCGAAAGAGUGGGGAGCAUACAGG